rnacentral:rRNA from 1 species
GACGAACGCUGGCGGCGUGCCUAAUACAUGCAAGUCGAGCGAAGUUUUUCUGGUGCUUGCACUAGAAAAACUUAGCGGCGAACGGGUGAGUAACACGUAAAGAACCUGCCUCAUAGACUGGGACAACUAUUGGAAACGAUAGCUAAUACCGGAUAACAGUAUUUCUCGCAUGAGAGAUAUUUAAAAGUUGGUUAUGCUAACACUAUGAGAUGGCUUUGCGGUGCAUUAGCUAGUUGGUGGGGUAAAGGCCUACCAAGGCGACGAUGCAUAGCCGACCUGAGAGGGUGAUCGGCCACACUGGGACUGAGACACGGCCCAGACUCCUACGGGAGGCAGCAGUAGGGAAUCUUCCGCAAUGGGCGAAAGCCUGACGGAGCAACGCCGCGUGAGUGAAGAAGGAUUUCGGUUCGUAAAGCUCUGUUGUUAGGGAAGAAUG